rnacentral:rRNA from 1 species
UACGUAGGGUGCAAGCGUUGUCCGGAUUUAUUGGGUUUAAAGGGUGCGUAGGCGGCUUUGUAAGUCAGUGGUGAAAUACUCUAGCUUAACUAGAGGGGUGCCAUUGAUACUGCGGAGCUUGAGUACAGAUGAGGUAGGCGGAAUUGACGGUGUAGCGGUGAAAUGCAUAGAUAUCAGGAGGAACACCGGUGGCGAAGGCGGGUCUCUGGGCCGUAACUGACGCUGAGGAGCGAAAGCAUGGGGAGCGAACAGG